UGUGAGCUCGAUGAGUAGGGCGGGACACGUGGUAUCCUGUCUGAAUAUGGGGGGACCAUCCUCCAAGGCUAAAUACUCCUGACUGACCGAUAGUGAACCAGUACCGUGAGGGAAAGGCGAAAAGAACCCCGGCGAGGGGAGUGAAAAAGAACCUGAAACCGUGUACGUACAAGCAGUGGGAGCCUCUUUUAUGGGGUGACUGCGUACCUUUUGUAUAAUGGGUCAGCGACUUAUAUUCUGUAGCAAGGUUAACCGAAUAGGGGAGCCGAAGGGAAACCGAGUCUUAACUGGGCGUUAAGUUGCAGGGUAUAGACCCGAAACCCGGUGAUCUAGCCAUGGGCAGGUUGAAGGUUGGGUAACACUAACUGGAGGACCGAACCGACUAAUGUUGAAAAAUUAGCGGAUGACUUGUGGCUGGGGGUGAAAGGCCAAUCAAACCGGGAGAUAGCUGGUUCUCCCCGAAAGCUAUUUAGGUAGCGCCUCGUGAAUUCAUCUCCGGGGGUAGAGCACUGUUUCGGCAAGGGGGUCAUCCCGACUUACCAACCCGAUGCAAACUGCGAAUACCGGAGAAUGUUAUCACGGGAGACACACGGCGGGUGCUAACGUCCGUCGUGAAGAGGGAAACAACCCAGACCGCCAGCUAAGGUCCCAAAGUCAUGGUUAAGUGGGAAACGAUGUGGGAAGGCCCAGACAGCCAGGAUGUUGGCUUAGAAGCAGCCAUCAUUUAAAGAAAGCGUAAUAGCUCACUGGUCGAGUCGGCCUGCGCGGAAGAUGUAACGGGGCUAAACCAUGCACCGAAGCUGCGGCAGCGACACUAUGUGUUGUUGGGUAGGGGAGCGUUCUGUAAGCCUGUGAAGGUGUACUGUGAGGUAUGCUGGAGGUAUCAGAAGUGCGAAUGCUGACAUAAGUAACGAUAAAGCGGGUGAAAAGCCCGCUCGCCGGAAGACCAAGGGUUCCUGUCCAACGUUAAUCGGGGCAGGGUGAGUCGACCCCUAAGGCGAGGCCGAAAGGCGUAGUCGAUGGGAAACAGGUUAAUAUUCCUGUACUUGGUGUUACUGCGAAGGGGGGACGGAGAAGGCUAUGUUGGCCGGGCGACGGUUGUCCCGGUUUAAGCGUGUAGGCUGGUUUUCCAGGCAAAUCCGGAAAAUCAAGGCUGAGGCGUGAUGACGAGGCACUACGGUGCUGAAGCAACAAAUGCCCUGCUUCCAGGAAAAGCCUCUAAGCAUCAGGUAACAUCAAAUCGUACCCCAAACCGACACAGGUGGUCAGGUAGAGAAUACCAAGGCGCUUGAGAGAACUCGGGUGAAGGAACUAGGCAAAAUGGUGCCGUAACUUCGGGAGAAGGCACGCUGAUAUGUAGGUGAAGUCCCUCGCGGAUGGAGCUGAAAUCAGUCGAAGAUACCAGCUGGCUGCAACUGUUUAUUAAAAACACAGCACUGUGCAAACACGAAAGUGGACGUAUACGGUGUGACGCCUGCCCGGUGCCGGAAGGUUAAUUGAUGGGGUCAGCGCAAGCGAAGCUCUUGAUCGAAGCCCCGGUAAACGGCGGCCGUAACUAUAACGGUCCUAAGGUAGCGAAAUUCCUUGUCGGGUAAGUUCCGACCUGCACGAAUGGCGUAAUGAUGGCCAGGCUGUCUCCACCCGAGACUCAGUGAAAUUGAACUCGCUGUGAAGAUGCAGUGUACCCGCGGCAAGACGGAAAGACCCCGUGAACCUUUACUAUAGCUUGACACUGAACAUUGAGCCUUGAUGUGUAGGAUAGGUGGGAGGCUUGGAAGUGUGGACGCCAGUCUGCAUGGAGCCGACCUUGAAAUACCACCCUUUAAUGUUUGAUGUUCUAACGUGGACCCGUGAUCCGGGUUGCGGACAGUGUCUGGUGGGUAGUUUGACUGGGGCGGUCUCCUCCUAAAGAGUAACGGAGGAGCACGAAGGUUGGCUAAUCCUGGUCGGACAUCAGGAGGUUAGUGCAAUGGCAUAAGCCAGCUUGACUGCGAGCGUGACGGCGCGAGCAGGUGCGAAAGCAGGUCAUAGUGAUCCGGUGGUUCUGAAUGGAAGGGCCAUCGCUCAACGGAUAAAAGGUACUCCGGGGAUAACAGGCUGAUACCGCCCAAGAGUUCAUAUCGACGGCGGUGUUUGGCACCUCGAUGUCGGCUCAUCACAUCCUGGGGCUGAAGUAGGUCCCAAGGGUAUGGCUGUUCGCCAUUUAAAGUGGUACGCGAGCUGGGUUUAGAACGUCGUGAGACAGUUCGGUCCCUAUCUGCCGUGGGCGCUGGAGAACUGAGGGGGGCUGCUCCUAGUACGAGAGGACCGGAGUGGACGCAUCACUGGUGUUCGGGUUGUCAUGCCAAUGGCACUGCCCGGUAGCUAAAUGCGGAAGAGAUAAGUGCUGAAAGCAUCUAAGCACGAAACUUGCCCCGAGAUGAGUUCUCCCUGACUCCUUGAGAGUCCUGAAGGAACGUUGAAGACGACGACGUUGAUAGGCCGGGUGUGUAAGCGCAGCGAUGCGUUGAGCUAACCGGUACUAAUGAACCGUGAGGCUUAACCUUACAACGCCGAAGCUGUU
rnacentral:rRNA from 1 species